rnacentral:rRNA from 1 species
CAGUAGCCGCGGUAAUACGGAGGGCGCGAGCGUUACCCGGAUUUACUGGGCGUAAAGGGCGUGUAGGCGGCCUGGGGCGUCCCGUGUGAAAGGCCACGGCUCGACCGUGGAGGAGCGUGGGAUACGCUCAGGCUAGAGGGUGGGAGAGGGUGGUGGAAUUCCCGGAGUAGUGGUGAAAUGCGCAGAUACCGGGAGGAACGCCGAUGGCGAAGGCAGCCACCUGGUCUACUUCUGACGCUGAGGCGCGAAAGCGUGGGGAGCAAACCGGAUUAGAUACCCGAGUAGUCCCUGUCUCUUAUAC